GACGGAGGAUGCAAGUGUUAUCCGGAAUCACUGGGCGUAAAGCGUCUGUAGGUGGUUCAAUAAGUCAACUGUUAAAUCUUGAGGCUCAACUUCAAAAUCGCAGUCGAAACUAUUGACUCGAGUAUAGUAGGGGUAAAGGGAAUUUCCAGUGGAGCGGUGGAAAUGCGUAGAGAUUGGAAAGAACACCAAUGGCGAAAGCACUUUACUGGGCUAUUACUGACACUGAGAGACGAAAGCUAGGGUAGCAAAUGGGG
rnacentral:rRNA from 1 species